rnacentral:rRNA from 1 species
GACGAACGCUGGCGGCGUGCUUAACACAUGCAAGUCGAACGGUGAAGCGCCUUCCUUUUUGGUGGGUGUGGAUGAGCGGCGAACUGGUGAGUAACACGUUAGUAACCUGCUCCCUUCUGCUGGACAACCGCAUGAAAGUGUUGCUAAUACGGGAUAUUUUGGGUCUGUUGCAUGAUGGGUCUGGGAAAGAUAUUGUUUCGGUGGGGGAUGGGGCCGCGGACUAUCAGCUUGUUGGUGGGGUGAUGGCCUACCAAGGCGGUGACGAGUAGCCGGCCUGAGAGGGUGGACGGUCACACUGGGACUGAGAGGCGGCGCAGACUACUACGGGAAGCAGCAGUGGAGAAUAUUGCACGAUGGGCGGAAGGAUGAUGCAGCGACGCGGCGGGGGGGAUGGAGGCCUGCGGGUUGUGAACCUCUUUCGCCAGUGAAGCAGGCCUGACUCGUUUGUGGGUGGGUUGACGGUAGCUGGAUAAGAAGCGCCGGCUAACUACGUG